GACGAACGCUGGCGGCGUGCUUAACACAUGCAAGUCGAACGGAAAGGCCCUGCUUUUGUGGGGUGCUCGAGUGGCGAACGGGUGAGUAACACGUGAGUAGCCUGCCCUUGACUUUGGGAUAACUUCAGGAAACUGGGGCUAAUACCGGAUAGGAGCUCCUGCUGCAUGGUGGGGGUUGGAAAGUUUCGGCGGUUGGGGAUGGACUCGCGGCUUAUCAGCUUGUUGGUGGGGUAGUGGCUUACCAAGGCUUUGACGGGUAGCCGGGCUGAGAGGGUGACCGGCCACACUGGGACUGAGAUACGGCCCAGACUCCUACGGGAGGCAGCAGUGGGGAAUAUUGCACAAUGGGCGGAAGCCUGAUGCAGCAACGCCGCGUGCGGGAUGACGGCCUUCGGGUUGUAAACCGCUUUCGCCUGUGACGAAGCGUGAGUGACGGUAAUGGGUAAAGAAGCACCGGCUAACUACGUG
rnacentral:rRNA from 1 species